GAUGAAGAACGUAGCGAAAUGCGAUACUUGGUGUGAAUUGCAGAAUCCCGUGAACCAUCGAGUCUUUGAACGCAAGUUGCGCCCGAAGCCAUUAGGCCGAGGGCACGCCUGCCUGGGCGUCACACGUCGUUGCCCCCCCAUCUACUCCUUCGGGAUUGCGGGGGGCGGAUGAUGGCCUCCCGUGCGCCUCGUCGCGCGGUUGGCAUAAAUGCCAAGUCCUCGGCGACGCACGCCACGACAAUCGGUGGUUGCGAAACCUCGGUUGCCCGUCGUGUGCGGUCGUCGCGCAUCGAGGGCUCGAAAAAAUUGCCGGGCUCCGGCUCGGCUUUCAACGCGACCCCAGGUCAGGCGGGGUUACCCGCUGAAUUUAAGCAUAUCAAUAAGCGGGA
rnacentral:misc_RNA from 1 species